rnacentral:tRNA from 1 species
GCACCUGUCGCCUACCGGCGCGCGGGCCUGCGGCCUUCUAAUCCGCAGGUUCCCGGUUCGAGUCCGGGCGGGGGCA